GCCGGGUGUGGUGGUGCAUGCCUGUAAUCCCCGUGGCUUGGGAGGCUGAGUCAGGAGUAUCCUGAGUUCAAAGCCAGCCUCAGCAACAGCGAGGUGCUGAACAACUCAGUGAAACCCUGUUUCUA
rnacentral:sRNA from 1 species